rnacentral:lncRNA from 1 species
UAUCUCUAAUCCCGCCUUUUAACCCUUCAUAUUGAUCUCUCACAUACGUUAGGAGUGAUGUUGUUCAACAACUACCUUAUAUGUACCCUCUCUCAAGCAAUAUACACUAAAUAGGCACAGUCAAUUGAUGGUCAUUCAAUCAACAAUAAUAAACACGUAGUUGAACAAGUAGAGAAAUCUAACGGUUCAAUUAUAUAAACACAUAACGAGAAUUUUCUUACAAAAGGUUCCAUCAAAACCCUAGAUAACAAAUUAGCUAUUCAUAAUAGUAUGCAAAACUACAAUACUAGAAUUCAUAACCAAUAAUGAAAAUAGGAAGAAGGAAGUGAAAAACUCGUAGAAGAAUUCUCCUCCUUGUUCCUAGCGUGUUUUUGCCUCCUUGAGUCGAAUCCUCUCUCUAAAAACGUCCACCGUCUCUAAAAAAUAACUUUAACAGGUAUUUAUAAGGUAGGGUUAACAUGUCCACGUCCAAAACUAAGGAGGAAAUAAAAUUGGCUCGGAUAGCAUCGUCGGCGCGAGGCACUGUCUGGGGCACCAAUAUUUCUACGCGAGGCACUGCCUGGUCUACCAAUAUUUCUGCGCCAAUGUUUCUGUGCUAGGCACUGUCUGGGGUGCCAAUGACAGUGCCCUGGACAAUGCCUUGCACUGUCUAUGGCCAUGACUUUUCAUUGCCUUGCACGUCUUCUUUUAUUGCUUCAUUUUGUAGCUCUAAGGUACCAUUUCGUGUAACUUUUUUUCAAUUCAUGUCCAAAUAUUCCUACACGUGUAAUAAGCUCUAUUAAGCACAAUUGUCGCACAAAUUAGCAUCCAAACAACAAGCAAGUAGGGUAAAUAAUGUCAAAAUAUAUGGAUUUAUAGCACGAAAUCACUAAUAGAACUGGUGAUAUGAGUCUAAUCACUAUGAAUUCUAAUUCUUACAUUUGAAAAAAUGUUUGUAAGGCUGACUAUUUGUGCAAAGUUGGAACAGCCUAGAAUAUUGGCACGAGAGAGACUAUAAAUCUUUGGUACGGUCGUUCAAUUCUAGAGAUACCAAUCUUCGAACACUUAUCCAGGGUCCUUUGAAUAGGUUGAAAGACCAAAAAUCCCUUAUCUAUCAUCUUCCAACAUAAUUCUUGGUAUUUUUCUAGCAUUUCUUUUAUCUUACCCUACGAAAUCAUUCAACGAAUCCAUAAUACCCACAUACAACUUCUAUGCCGAUAAAACUUUUUCGGGAUCCUUGUGCUGAUGGGUCUUUUACUAUCCAAUCGGCGUAUGCACUUUACCUCUCCCUUAGUGAAAGUAUUAGUGAUUCCUAUCCAUCAAAAUUGCAACUAGGCAUGAACUGUCUGAAUCUUGAAUAAGAUCAAGUAUUUUUUUUGGCUUCUUUAUGCUAAUAAGCUUGAUCAUACACGAGAAAUUUAAAAAGAGGACAGUCUGGUGCACAAAAUAUUCCGCAGUCAUGUAGGAUCCGUGAAAGGACCGCACCUCAAGGGGAGUAAUAGGCAGCCUACUUUGACGCAAGUAUUAAUGACUAAUUCUACUGCUCGACUUCUGACCUAUAGGUCAUACGGAGAUAACUUUAUCAUAAAUUCUCUUUGCUAGAAAUAUUAUAUCAACUAGUAAUUGCGCUCUUUGUUCUGCCCCUGUUGAGACACUUCAACAUCUCUUUAUUGAAAGCACGUUUAAUGCUCACAUAUGAACAUCCUUAAAUAUUCUCAAUGUUCACAAUUUUGGCCCUGCUAUAUAUCAAGGAAGCCUGCUCAAAGUUUAGCACCGUACCGAUUUCACCAUGAUAAUGGGCUAUUCCCUUCCCACUAAUAUACCCCUCCCGAUUGUUCUUUGGAGCAUCUGGAUUAAUCUAAAUAGAAAUGUUUUUAACAGUACCUCAACCUUCGUCUUCAUCAACGUAUCGUCGUGUAGGUUGCUAAAGUCUUCUUCCUCGCAAAUGUUGUCACCUUUUCUCCUUGGACCAUCACCAUCCAUGUUAAUUGGCAAUUGCCUUAGGAUGAUGUUGUUAAGCUUAACGUAGAUGGUGCGCAUAACAAUAUUACUGGAAAAGGAGGAAUAGGGGAAGUGUUUAGAGCCGUAUAGCUAGUUGGUGUUGGAAAAAAUAAUAUCCCGCACAAGAAUAAUAUCCACGAUAAAUAAUAAUGACACAAGAGAGUAACAAUGACACUAAAUCUUUUAACGGAGUAAAAUACAAUACCCGAGAGGAGCAAUAUAAUACCACUAUAAUAUUACAACUUUGUAGUGUCAAAAGACUACUACGACUCAAAAGAAAUAAACUCUUUAUUUUAAAUAUCUCACCACAAUAUUACUCUCACUCUAUUUUCUCACGGACUAUAAAAUAGUUUGUGGAUUACUCUCACAACUCUAAUACUUCUCUCUU